rnacentral:rRNA from 1 species
CAGCCGCCACGGGAAUACGAAGGGUGCAAGCGUUAAUCGGAAUUACUGGGCGUAAAGCGUGCGUAGGCGGUUUGUUAAGUCUGCUGUGAAAUCCCCGGGCUCAACCUGGGAAUGGCAGUGGAUACUGGCAAGCUAGAGUGUGUCAGAGGAUGGUGGAAUUCCCGGUGUAGCGGUGAAAUGCGUAGAGAUCGGGAGGAACAUCAGUGGCGAAGGCGGCCAUCUGGGACAACACUGACGCUGAGGCACGAAAGCGUGGGGAGCAAACAGGAUUAGAUACCCCUGUAGUACCUGUCUCUUAUAU